rnacentral:rRNA from 1 species
GACGAACGCUGGCGGCGUGCUUAACACAUGCAAGUCGAACGGAAAGGCCUCUUUCGGGGGGUACUCGAGUGGCGAACGGGUGAGUAACACGUGAGUAACCUGCCCUUAACUUUGGGAUAACUUCAGGAAACUGGGGCUAAUACCGGAUAGGAGCUCCUGCUGCAUGGUGGGGGUUGGAAAGUUUCGGCGGUUGGGGAUGGACUCGCGGCUUAUCAGCUUGUUGGUGGGGUAGUGGCUUACCAAGGCUUUGACGGGUAGCCGGCCUGAGAGGGUGACCGGCCACAGUGGGACUGAGAUACGGCCCAGACUCCUACGGGAGGCAGCAGUGGGGAAUAUUGCACAAUGGGUGGAAGCCUGAUGCAGCAACGCCGUGUGCGGGAUGACGGCCUUCGGGUUGUAAACCGCUUUCGCUCAUGACGAAGCUUUGUGUGACGGUAGUGGGUAAAGAAGCACCGGCUAACUACGUG